rnacentral:rRNA from 1 species
GUGGGGAAUUUUGCACAAUGGGCGCAAGCCUGAUGCAGCAACGCCGCGUGUGUGAUGAAGGUCUUCGGAUCGUAAAGCACUUUCGACCGGGACGAACAAGCUACUCCUAACACGAGUGGCCCUGACGGUACCGGGAGAAGAAGCACCGGCUAACUCUGUGCCAGCAGCCGCGGUAAUACAGAGGGUGCAAGCGUUGUUCGGAAUUAUUGGGCGUAAAGCGCGGGUAGGCGGCUUGAAAAGUCGGGUGUGAAAGCCCUCAGCUCAACUGAGGAAGUGCGCCCGAAACUCUCGAGCUUGAGUGCCGGAGAGGAUGGCGGAAUGCCCCAAGUAGAGGUGAAAUUCGUAGAUAUGGGGCGGAACACCGGUGGCGAAGGCGGCCAUCUGGACGGUAACUGACGCUGAGCCGCGAAAGCGUGGGUAGCAAACAGGAUUAGAUACCCUAGUAGUCC